rnacentral:lncRNA from 1 species
ACUAAAACCAUGGCACCUCCCACAAGGAAUAAUCAAAUAACCAAAGGCCAGGUCACUGCCCUCACAGAGAAGAGUUAGACUUUUAAUCUAAACCGACCCUGAACUCAGCCUGCAGAGACACUAAAAUGAGGCUGUGCCUGCUGAGCUUGGUGGUGGGGAUCACCAUGGGGGUGACUGGGAUCCCCCUGGGAAAAGUCUUUACAAGGAGACAACAAACAGAGGUGGAAAAGGAGGGACAGGACUCCCUGGAGCCAAAUAACGAGUUGACUUCAUUAUAUCAACCAGAAUCUGUAUCAUGGAACUUAACUGAAACUUUUGAGGACACUGAGGAGGACAAGCCCAAGAAAGCAAAAAGACAACUCCCUAUCCUUGGUUCUUAUUCAGGAAUGACUUCAAGAGCAGCUAACGAUAAUGAGACCUUUAUCUUUAUACGUAUUUGUGGAGGUACCUGCAAUGAAUCUAAGACACUCCAUGAGAAUAGCCCUGAGAAAGAAAAAGAAGAAAAAAGACAAAGAGAGCCUCAUCCCUACAGAGAACCAGUGAGAGACCUGAACCUUCCAGGGACUAUCCUACAGCUGCUUAACCAGACAAAGGCUACAAACAGGAGUGCCAGUGUGGAUUUCAUCCUUCAGAAUCAAAAUGGCAGUAUCACCAGAGAUCUCUGUGAGGGCUGCUGUGAGGAGAAAGAGAAAGAUCUAGGAAGGAAGUCAAAUGAGACAUCGAAGUAUCCCAAGAAGAAAAGAGUUGACCAGUGGUCAGUCCUUGGGAGAGUGGCUCCUCCACCUGGAAAAAAUUCCAAUAAUAUGGUGGCGAUGAAGUUGCAUAAUGACACUCACAUUGACAAUCUAGCCAAGAAGGCCCCACAACAGGCUAAUGACCUUAGAGGAAGGCGAUGCUCUGCCUGUUGUGCUGAUGAUAGAAACCUUGCGGUCCUUGUGAGAAGAGACUGAGAAGAAGCCAAUGAAGUGUUUUCUGCAUGGACCUAGCACAAUGCCCAGCAGAGACCAGUCACCAUAUACAAUGGAGCUAAGAUACUACAGCUGGAUUGGAAAAAGGAAGUAUGCCUUGAUUUCGUCCUCCUCACUUCCAUGUUGUUGCUAAGUCCUGUUUCUUCAUAUCAUGCUUGAGUCCUCCUUCGGUUCACAAUAAAGUCUCUCUUUUCCUGAUUACCUCA